CUGAUGGACUAUUUUGUCAAUAUUUUCCUAGUACUUGGGCAGCUAAACUCAGCGGUUUAGCGCUGCCUUCAGCUCAGGGCGUGAUCCCGAGGUUCCGGGAUAGAGUCCUGCACUGGGCUCCCUGCGUGGAGCCUGCUUCUCCCCCUGCCUGUGUCUCUGCCUCUCUCUCUGUGUCUCUCAUGAAUAAAUAAAUAAAAUCUUUAAAAAAUAUUUUUUUUCCCGGUACAGAGAGCUAAAAAACAAAUAACAACAGAACUAAUUUAUAAACCUAGUGACAUGGAUGGAGGCUGUUGUUUUUCCAGGGCACUUUGUGCUUUCUCUUUUGGAGUGAGCUUUCUGGUUUGUAGGAGAAAAGAAUCUCCAGAGAAAGUGGGCAAGCUGUCAGGAAAAUAAGAUGAACACAUGGUACCGAUCCAAAUGGAGAGCCUGUGAGAAGCUGAUGACUGUCCAUGGAAUUCUGGAGACUUUACAAGUCCUCCUCAUGCCUCUGCGUGUAAUUGAAGCUAUAUGAAAAUAUAGUUGAAAUGAGAAGAAAAACAUGGAGAACUUUGAAGAUUCUGGUGUCUUCAAUUGGGGUGGAAUUAUUUCAGCUUCCUCUUGGAUUUUAAUACUCAUUUGACCACAGUGGUGUGCACACAGUUUUAAAAUUUUUUUCGUGCCCCCUAAAAGAUAACCCUCAUUCUGCACAGAAACAUCUUUUGAGUGAUCAUUGAAUAAUGGAUUGAUGGCAAGGUGCUUCGAAUCUUGAGUUCUGCAAGUAAAUUAAUUUGAAAGAGAAUAACAUAAAGCUUCUCUGUUCUUUCUGUGAGAAAGUUUCUCCCAGAUGAUUUUUCAAGAUGAGUAAAAGGAAAAGAGCAUAAUUGUAGCUGUCACUAGAUCAUUUUCUCCUUCGUUUUUUUUGGGUCUAUUCUUACCUGUUCAAAUUGUGUAGACAGCUUUGAUCAUGCUACAAUUGCCAAGCGGUUCACUCAUCUGCCGAAUCCCCCGACUGCCAAAUCACACCGUUCUCUCACCUGAUGACACUGUUCCACACUGUCUGAUGUUCGUCCAAUGCUUUGAACUCUGCUUGCGUUGCCUUCAGAAGAGAACAUGUUCAGAAACCUCCAUGAUGGACAAUAUUGAAUUGUGUCACCAAGUUUUUUGAGUAUAGGAAACAGAACACACAGGGCUUGGUUUUCACCACUCAGAUUUGUAUGUGGAUUCCCAGACAGCUCUCAUGUUCUAAAAUUGCUCUGGUCAUCUCACUCUGCAUUGCCUAGCUCUGCACUUCAAGGCUUCCAGAAGUGUUGGCCUACUUUCCUGGAAGCGAAAAGGAGAUGGUCAUUAUUUAUUAGUUUUCCAUAGGAAGAAGAAGGGUUACCUGUAGUCCACUUUUACUGUGAGUGAUCAUUGGGUGGACUCUUCCUUUUCUGUGCAAGGCGUGCCAGUGUAUUAGUGGGACAACACACAUUUUUUUAAGUAAAACCUUCUGAAGAGGAAGAUGGCGUCUACAUUUCAAGUUCGUAGGUUCAUUAGUUGGUGGUGACAUUGCAGACUCGUACUAGGGAGACACAGCCUUCGCCUUCUGUGUGACACCUGGCAGCCCUUGGGCUGGAUGAAUUUAGCAUUAAUUGAUCUCCAAGGCCAUCGAGUGUGUGCACACCAGCAAUUUUCAAAAUCAAUUACAUGCUGACUUGAGGCACCCAAGCAGAGCGGAGGCGCUAGGAAAACGUUCCCUCCAUUCGCUCCCUGCCACUUGAAAUUUUACUGAGGAGGAAGAUUCAGGGCCUGAGGCGGAAGUGACCAGAUAAAAUCGGGACAGCCAGUUGACAGGUGAAUUUCAGUUACAGGUUCUCUCCUGGCUAGAGGAGGAAUGCGAGAUGGUCUGUGGAAUGACAGGGUAAACUCCUGGUCCCGUGUUCGUCUCCAGAAUCAAACCGUCUGGGAGCACUGCCUGGGAAUCUGCAUUGAGACAAGAACCUUGGUGAUCCUUCUAAGAUUCCGUGUCUUCCUUGAGUGAUGGCAACCGUGUGGCCCAAAGCAAUGCAAAUCCGGAGAAUGUGAGCACGGGCAGCGCUUCCGUGGACACCAGCCAGUGCCCGCGAGUGGACCGCGGUGACGUGAGAGGCAGCAGGUG